UACGUAGGGUGCAAGCGUUGUCCGGAAUUACUGGGCGUAAAGAGCUCGUAGGCGGCUUGUCGCGUCGACUGUGAAAUCCCGCGGCUCAACUGCGGGUCUGCAGUCGAUACGGGCAGGCUAGAGUUCGGUAGGGGAGACUGGAAUUCCUGGUGUAGCGGUGAAAUGCGCAGAUAGUCAGGAGGAACACCAGUGGCGAAGGCGGCCGCCUGGACCUGACCUGACGGCUGAGGCGCGAAGGCGCGGGGAGCGAACGGG
rnacentral:rRNA from 1 species